UCAACCCAAACCAUGUGAUUCUGGGAUUUUAUGAUUGACAUAUGCAGGGAAUUGGAACCACAGUGUCUUGAGACUCCAUCAGCAGCUGGGAUAGGACUUGACAGCUGCUAUAAAAUCCUACAAGCUUUUGGGUGAUCUUAGUACCACUGUGCCAUUAGGGAGAGAUAAAGGAACUACUCCCUGGCAAGGCCACAUUAUUCCUAAUGCUACGAUGAAGCGAGGCAUAUUCUUGGAUCAGGUUCAUUCCACAUGUAAGCAAGUCUAAAACUGUGAGACAUUAACAGGCAUCGCCACAGCUCAUUCCAGGAUUGGCUGUUGCUCUGUUAUUUAUCUGCCUUAGAUUUGGAAGCAAGUUCAGCUUGGUCUUGUACGCUGUAAGAAGCUGAGAGCUUCAUGCACAAGGGAAAGUUUUGUCAUCAUAAGAAAUGGAGAAUAACUUUGUUGCUCUGACAGCAUACCAGGAAAAUAAGAUUAGUAAAGUCCCUCAUGUGCUGUCCCUGGAGAGCCCCCACAAAAACCAGGAGCCUGUUUCACUGUCAGUGGCUGCUCUGUGCCCCACUGUCAUUUUUUUUUCCAGUUGGAGUCUGGUUCUGCCAUCUUUCAUGAUAUCAAACAGUAAAACCACAAAGAGUAUGGCCUGA